UCGAAACCUGCCCUGCAGAACGACCAGCGAACAUGUUAUAUACUACGCGUGGGGAGGGGUUGCUGGUUCGCCAGUCCCUCUCCAUCGUCAGGGGGCAAACCCUUUGGGUUUCUCCUUGGCAUAAUAACGAAACCCCGGCGCGUAUGCGCCAAGGAACAAAACCAAGAGCGUGCCUAUCCUUGCCCGGGAAUCCGGCGCAAUGAUGCGGCACCCAUUAAGUCAUAAAACGACUCUCGGCAACGGAUAUCUCGGCUCUCGCAUCGAUGAAGAACGUAGCGAAAUGCGAUACUUGGUGUGAAUUGCAGAAUCCCGUGAACCAUCGAGUUUUUGAACGCAAGUUGCGCCCGAAGCCUUCCGGCCAGGGCACGUCUGCCUGGGCGUCACGCAUAGCGUCUCCCCCAAACCACUAAGUGUGGGACGGAGAGGAUGAUGGCCUCCCAUGCCUCACCGGGUGUGGAUGGCCUAAAUAGGGAGCCUACGGAUACAAAAUGCCGCGGCGUCAGGUGGUACACAAGGCAUUUGCCUCGAAAGCAUCGCGCCUGGCAUCAUGUAUCUUAUUCGGGCUCGAAGGACCCUUACAAAACCUUUGCGACCCCAGGUCAGGCGGGGUUACCCG
rnacentral:rRNA from 1 species